rnacentral:lncRNA from 1 species
GUUUUAUUUUAAGAGUUAUUUAACUCUCUGUAAUAUGAGUCAUUUCAGUUGGUUAAUGACUGUGUUAAAGGACACAAAGCUUCAAUUUAAAACAAACUGCAUAUCUCAGUUUUACCAGUAGGAGGCAGUGUGGUGCAGUGUUUCUUUCAUGAACUCUCUUUGUUAGUGAACUCGUUGUUUCCUCAGUUUGCUGAGUCAUGCUGUACUGAACAGACACACUGUCGUAUUCCUCAUCUUUUCUCCUGUUUACACAGGGUGCUCAGGAGGUGGACGUGGUAAUGUGGAGGGAGGCAGCCAUCCUACCAUUGAAGCUCAAUGUGAAAGUCACAUUAACCCAUCUCAAAGGUUCGACGGGAACCUAUGGCUUCAGGCUUCAUACAAGUAACCAUACUAGUAUGAAGGGAGAAGAAGUGUCCAAGUCGGAGGUGAUUGUCAAUUUUAACGCUCAAGGAUGAAACUGAAAUCACAAUCCCUGAAAAAAUGUGGAAUCCGUUUGAUGAUCUUCUGGACCGGAGCCCAGUAACAGUCGUUAUUGUCACAAAGGAAGGGGAAAUCAUCGACGCUACUGUUAUGGAUGAAGAUCAGGAGGAAUAAAACCACACACACACACA